rnacentral:rRNA from 1 species
AGAGUUUGAUCAUGGCUCAGGAUGAACGCUAGCGGCAGGCUUAAUACAUGCAAGUCGAGGGGCAACAGGGGUAGCAAUACCUGCUGGCGACCGGCAAACGGGUGCGGAACACGUACAGACCUUCCUUUAAGCGGGGAAUAGCCCGGAGAAAUCCGGAUUAAUACCCCAUAGUAAUGUUGGGUGGCAUCAUUUGACAUUUAAAGAUUUAUCACUUAAAGAUGGCUGUGCGUAUGAUUAGGUAGUUGGUUGAGGUAACGGCUCACCAAGCCAACGAUCAUUAACUGGUGUGAGAGCACGACCAGUCACACGGGCACUGAGACACGGGCCCGACUCCUACGGGAGGCAGCAGUAAGGAAUAUUGGUCAAUGGACGCAAGUCUGAACCAGCCAUGCCGCGUGAAGGAUGAAGGUCCUCUGGAUUGUAAACUUCUUUUAUGUGGGAAGAAAUGCAUUCUUUAUAGAGUGUUUGACGGUACCAUAGGAAUAAGCACCGGCUAACUCCGUGCCAGCAGCCGCGGUAAUACGGAGGGUGCAAGCGUUAUCCGGAUUCACUGGGUUUAAAGGGUGCGUAGGUGGGCUUGUAAGUCAGUGGUGAAAUCUCCGUGCUUAACAUGGAAACUGCCAUUGAUACUAUAGGUCUUGAAUUUUCCGGAGGUUAGCGGAAUAUGUCUGUAGCGGUGAAAUGCUUAGAUAUGACAUAGAACACCAAUUGCGAAGGCAGCUAACUACAGGGAUAUUGACACUGAGGCACGAAAGCGUGGGGAUCAAACAGGAUUAGAUACCCUAGUAGUCC